rnacentral:rRNA from 1 species
AGUGAACGCUGGCGGUAGGCCUAACACAUGCAAGUCGAACGGCAGCACAGUAAGAGCUUGCUCUUACGGGUGGCGAGUGGCGGACGGGUGAGGAAUACAUCGGAAUCUACUUUUUCGUGGGGGAUAACGUAGGGAAACUUACGCUAAUACCGCAUACGACCUACGGGUGAAAGCAGGGGAUCUUCGGACCUUGCGCGAUUGAAUGAGCCGAUGUCGGAUUAGCUAGUUGGCGGGGUAAAGGCCCACCAAGGCGACGAUCCGUAGCUGGUCUGAGAGGAUGAGCAGCAACAGUGGAGCUGAGCCGCAGUGCGGACGCAGACGGGAGGCAGCAGGGGGGAGUGGUGAACAAUGGGCGCAAGUCUGAACCAGCCAUACCGCGGGGAAGAAGGAGGCCGGCGGGUAGUAAAGGCCUUUGGUGGGGAAAGAAAAGCAGCAGGUUAAUACCCCGCUGUUAUGACGGUACACAAAGAAUAAGCGCCGGCUAACUUC